UAGUAAAUGGCAGUCCCGCCUUUGGAGGC
rnacentral:sRNA from 1 species